GCCUCGAUGCCGUAGCUGUGGGCUACGAGGAGAGCCCAUCUCCGAAUCUGCAACAGUAGAGAAGUCUUUGCCUUUCCCACUACCGCCCUUAGAAGCCCACUUGGACAAAGCAAAACGAGGUACCGAUCCCAAAGAUUCAACUACAAGAGUCCCGCAAGCUUGUGAAUAUAAUAAGUAUUUGGCUCCCCCCCCCCCCACAAAAAAUGCUAAUACUUUAAUGAGUUUAUGAAACCAAACUUACCCUCUUGGUCUGUGACUUGCAAUGUGGAAGAAGCGGAAUGAUCCUUGAGGUCCAAGAGAGUGGUGUUGAUACGUAAAGUUCCCAUAGAGUGUCGAGCACUAGCUAGAUCAAACCAUCCCUUCAAACAGAACACUCAUUUUUCAACAUGAUCGAGUUUUUAAAGAUCAGAAAUGAAAAAGACACUACCAUUUACCUCUCGAAGCUUUGAAUUGAGAGAAUCCAUAAGCGUUAGAUACCCAUCCAACGAAUCCAAGAACUGCAACACCUUCUCAUCUCCUCGCUCAGUUUUAGCUUCUGCUUCAAUGGAUUCCUCUCCUUCUUCGCAAAUCUCAAUCUCUUCAGCUCCCGCCAUCUCGAUUUAGCUUCCAACAAACACGAAUGGAUGAUCCAAUCGAUCCAGAGCGCUCAGAGAGAGAGAGAGAGAGAGAGAGAGGAGAGAGAAUGACCCUCGAGGCUAUUUUCAUUAAUCUUUUGCUUAUACGAAGCCCAUCACUAAAGCCCAUUAAUUCAUCUGUUAAAGCCCAUUAAUUCAUCUGUUAAAGCCCAUUAACUUGGUUACGCGUCUGGGUCAGGUAAGUGUGUACACGGCCGACCGUUCGUCAAGUUGGCGUUUGAUGGCUCCACGUCUCUCUAUCUCUCUCUCAUGACUUUUCGAUUUAAGUCAGCGUCUCGUGCUUUCAUAUUUUUUCCAACUUUUAUUUAAUAUCGAAGUCUCCAUUUUUUAUUUCAUUUUCCUUCAAACCCAUCUCUUGUCCCCCUUGUCUGUUCAUUCCCUUAUCUUUGCCUGUCUCUCUCGCUCUCGCACGGGGAUAGACAAAGGACUUCCCGUUGAAUCCAAGCUCGACUCUACUUGCAGUUGGAUCCAUGGACGACGUAGAAGUCACACUCUCUCUCGCGUCUUUUGCUCAAAGAGAUUAUUAAAGAAGCUGUCAUUUAUUUUCUUGCUUUUGUCUCUUCUCUGAAUCUCUGAUACGCUACUGCGAUUUGAAUUAGUUUGGUAUGUUUCAUUCUCUUGUGGUGUUUUGUAAUGAUUCUCCUGAAAUGUUUGCUCUCUUUUUUUUUGUCGGUCUCCAUGAAUAGUUACUAAAUUUAGUAAUCUUAGCGUUUAUGGGAAUGGGUUUAGAAAGAUUCGAUUCAUGUUUUUCGUACUUAAUGUUAUGGUUUUGUUUCCUUUGGUGUGAAAAAAAAAACAAAACUGUGAAUGAACUUAGCUGAAUCUGGUAUAUAUUGUCCCCUUUUGUGUUGUCUGCUUCUUACCAAACUCUUGCAUUUAAUAAUUCAGUGUCUUGAUUCUAGCUGCCUUUUAUGAUCCUCUCUACCAUGCUUCGUUUAGCUGUAACUAGAAGCUUUAUAGAGAAUAAAGCGACUUAGUCAGCAAGGCGUUAAAGAAUAUUGACAUAGUUUUAUAUAUAUGGGCUUGAGCAACGGUUUUAAUAUCGGUUUCAAUAAUCAUUAUGCGUUUGCAGUGAGUGUUUAGGAAUAAGAUGGAUGGAGGCGAGUCAGAUGACAGCUCUCACUUCGAGCGAGGCGUAGACCACAUCUACGAAGCAUUCAUCUGCCCCUUGACAAAAGAAGUCAUGCACGAUCCCGUCACGUUAGAGAACGGACGAACAUUCGAGCGUGAAGCCAUCGAGAAAUGGUUCAAGAAAUGUCAGGACAGUAAUAAGCCUCCUUCUUGUCCUAUAACUUCUCAGGAGCUGAGUAGCGCCGACGUGAGCCCCAGCAUAGCUCUGCGCAACACUAUAGAAGAGUGGAGAUGGAGGAACGACGCCGCAAAGCUCGACGUCGCUCGUCAGGCACUGUUUCUAGGGAACGACGAGAGUGAUGUUUUGCAGGCUUUGAUGAACGUGAGGCAGAUUUGCAGGAGCAUACGUUCGAACAGGCAAGGCGUGCGUAACUCUCAGCUUGUGCGUAUGAUCAUCGACGUGUUGAAAAGUAACAGCCAUAAAGUGAGGUAUAAGGCUUUGCAGACACUUCAAGUUGUCGUUGAAGGAGAUGAGGAGAGCAAGGUUAUGUUCUGACUUGUAUCUCAAUCUUCUGCUAUUGCAUUGUAAUUAGGUCUCGGCUUUUGGUUUCGGUUCGAUUUCGGUUCAGAUGUUUUGGUUUUCGGUUCUAGAGAUUUAGAAAACUUUCGUUUAUUUAUAGAAUUCAGUUCAGUUUUGGUUAGUUUAUUUUAGUUUUUUGGGGUUUGGGUAACAAAGUUGGAACCGGCUAAUAUCGGGAAAAACUAGGGUCCAAUUUGGUUCCUGUUUGGUUUUGGUUUCCGAGGUAAUUUUAGAUAAUAUGUGUAAAAAUGUCAGAUAAUUAGGUUUUUAAAAGUCAAAUAUCAGAAUUCGUGGUGUUCGUAUAAAAAUGUCUGGUAACUCAUAUAAUCUUAAAUAUUUUGUGUAAGAAAAUAUUUUCGGUUUAUAAACAUUUUUAAGAUAUUUGGUUAGUUCGAAACUAAAUAUAAUUGAUAUUUUAAAUAUAUAAUCUAUAUUUUAAAAAUUCGGGUACCCAUUCGGUUUUUCUGUUGUGGUUAUUUAUGAAAUUUGGUUUGGAUUAUUUUGGUUUUGGUACCUAACUGUAAUGGUAAAACUUAUUAAAAAGUUUCAGCAUCUUGCAGGCGAUACUAGCUGAAGGAGACACUGUGCGUACACUGGUUAAGUUCUUGUCACACGAGCCAUCAAAGGGGAAAGAGGCAGCGGUUUCGUUGCUGUUUGAGCUCUCAAAGUCUGAAGCUUUGUGUGAGAAGAUUGGUUCGGUUAAUGGAGCGCUUAUCUUAUUGCUUUUUUUUUUUUUUUUUUAUGUGAGAGUAUAGUAUAGUUGGUGGUGAUGAGGAGUGUUACCUGUCUCAAAUGAAAGUUGAGCACCACGCAGCUUAGGCGAGACUAGACCUCCGAAUACCGACAGAGACUUGGCUCGUUCUUUUUUAAUCUGAAGAUUAACACACAUCCAAAUUAGUAAAACGGUAAAACACAUGUUGUACCUUUCUAAAGAUUAAAUGAUUGCUCACCUCUGCAUCUUCAUCAGCUGCUAACACGGUCUCACCCUUGGCUGAUGGUUUCUCUUCUACCGAAUCAAAUAAGCAAGAGAUAAAGACACAGACACACAAAAGGGCAUGGAAAGAAUAACAAACAGAUAAUUCUUAUUUAAUUUUACCAGCAAAGCCUCGAUGCCGUAGCUGUGGGCUACGAGGAGAGCCCAUCUCCGAAUCUGCAACAGUAGAGAAGUCUUUGCCUUUCCCACUACCGCCCUUAGAAGCCCACUUGGACAAAGCAAAACGAGGUACCGAUCCCAAAGAUUCAACUACAAGAGUCCCGCAAGCUUGUGAAUAUAAUAAGUAUUUGGCUCCCCCCCCCCCCACAAAAAAUGCUAAUACUUUAAUGAGUUUAUGAAACCA
rnacentral:lncRNA from 1 species